CCUACGGGUGGCAGCAGUGGGGAAUAUUGCACAAUGGGGGAAACCCUGAUGCAGCAACGCCGCGUGAGUGAUGACGGCCUUCGGGUUGUAAAGCUCUAUCAUCAGGGAAGAUAAUGACGGUACCUGAGGAGGAAGCCCCGGCUAACUACGUGCCAGCAGCCGCGGUAAUACGUAGGGGGCGAGCGUUAUCCGGAUUUACUGGGCGUAAAGGGAGCGUAGGCGGCCGUUUAAGUCAGAUGUGAAAUACCCGGGCUUAACUCGGGUGCUGCAUUUGAAACUGGAAGUCUAGAGUGCAGGAGAGGAGAAUGGAAUUCCUAGUGUAGCGGUGAAAUGCGUAGAGAUUAGGAAGAACACCAGUGGCGAAGGCGAUUCUCUGGACUGUAACUGACGCUGAGGCUCGAAAGCGUGGGGAGCAAACAGGAUUAGAUACCCUAGUAGUC
rnacentral:rRNA from 1 species